ensembl:lncRNA
AAAAGCCUCAUGGUGUCUGGGGAGACACAGCCUGCAGAUGGCACUCUUGUUCCUGGACCUUAGAUGUUGGUGACAUGGGAAAGCAGAUCAUUAAAAUAUUAAGACAUUUAGAAGCGACAACCUAAUUUUCUAGCCGAAGCAGAAAGCUGGGUGCACUAAUAUUGAUCUGUUACACUUGAAAUGUUCCUCCGCUCUCCACAUCACAGAUCAUGCCUGACUGACUUCCCAACAAUCAAAUCAUUGGCAGAACUAGCAAAUCAUUUUCAAAUACAGGCUGCCCAGCUGUGUUUUUCUGAAGAGAGAAGGACAGUCUCCUCUGACCCAGCGCUGAACUGUGGAGGCAGCCAGUGGAGCUUCAUGAAGUUCUGUUAAUCAACUAACCUUAGCAUGCAAAACUGACAAGGAAAAUCAUAUAGCAUUAUGGGCCAAUCACAUGGAACACAUUCUUGUGUUCAUAAACAGUGAAAGGAUCAGAAUACAGGAAUCUCAGGAUACAUUUUUAAAUGCUUCAAAUUUGAUGUAGCACCAAAAAUGCAGCACUUAUGGUGCGAGAGGAUGAAAAACAGUAAGAGGUGACGCUGCAACCAACGGCAUCCAUCACAUGCAUUUAAUUUAUUAAAAGUAGGACACUGCACUGCACAAAAAAUCCUAUAAGCGGUAACAGUUAAAUGCAGCAUCUACAAAAACAGUUUAUAUAUUUAUUUUAUUUUAAAGUUAUAUUCUAAGCACUUUAUUCUAUAGAUGUUUAAUAUUUGAAGGCCGUUUCCAAGUGG